rnacentral:rRNA from 1 species
GACAUAGGUUGCAAACGUUAUCCGGAAUUAUUGGGCGUAAAGGAUGCGUAGAUGGUUUGAUAAGUUAUCAGUGGUAAAUCGGGGCCCAACCUCGUGGAAGCUGAUAAUACUGUCAUACUUGAGUGCAGGAGAGGUUAACGGAACUCCAUGUGGAGCGGUAAAAUGCGUUGAUAUAUGGAAGAACACCGAUAAGGCGAAGGCAGUUAACUAUUCUGCUACUGACAUUGAGGCAUGAAAGCGUGGGGAGCAAAACGG